UACGGGGGGGGCAAGCGUUGUUCGGAAUUACUGGGCGUAAAGGGCUCGUAGGUGGCCAACUAAGUCAGACGUGAAAUCCCCCGGCUUAACCGGGGAACUGCGUCUGAUACUGGAUGGCUUGAGUUCGGGAGAGGGAUGCGGAAUUCCCGGUGUAGCAGUGAAAUGCGUAGAGAUCGGGAGGAACACCAGUGGCGAAGGCGGCUACCUGGACCAGCACUGACACUGAAGCACGAAAGCGUGGGGAGCAAACAGG
rnacentral:rRNA from 1 species